GCUUCCCCCUUCACAACUGCCUCAGCCCCGUGCAUCCGAACGCCAAGGAAACUGGCCCCCACUCCACCAUGGCCCGCCCACGUUGCUCGGUCUUCAAGCCCCCUGCAGUUCAACUGCAUAGCAGUCCUGGAGUCGCGCUCGCCGCCAAGCUACGCGUUGCCAUGCCCGGAGAAGGCUACGCCCGUGAUUCUCCCUCAUCGAGUUCGUCGCAAGAUCGCGAUUCGUUUCCGAGCUUCGAGGAAUCGACGGUCAAACAUUGGUGACCAAGUGAGCAAGCUCUUCAAGUCCUACAAAGUUGAAGACUCUGAGCAUCUGUUUGGUGAAGGUUGCCUUUGGUGCAAUCUAUGCUCAGGUAAAGAAGGUGUCGAGGCGAAUCUCCAGGAGUUCCAAGACUUCGACGAGUCCGAGGAUUAGGCUAGCGACCUCCCCCAGUCAGCUGCCUGUGGUGGGUUGUUUACGUUUGCUACGUUUCGAUUCUGUGUACUUUGAUUUAUAUUAUGUAAAUGGCUCUAGUCUGUAAUAUUAUUACUUACUCUUUAUUGUAAUUAGAAGCAUUGUGCUAUGAUGAGUUAUUUAUGUAA